UACGGAGGGUGCGAGCGUUAAUCGGAAUCACUGGGCGUAAAGCGCGCGUAGGCGGCUUUUCAAGUCAGGGGUGAAAUCCCACGGCCCAACCGUGGAACUGCCUUUGAAACUGUAGAGCUUGAGUGUCGGAGAGGGUGGCGGAAUUCCAGGUGUAGGAGUGAAAUCCGUAGAUAUCUGGAGGAACACCGGUGGCGAAGGCGGCCACCUGGACGACAACUGACGCUGAUGCUCGAAAGUGUGGGUAUCAAACAGG
rnacentral:rRNA from 1 species